rnacentral:snoRNA from 1 species
AUUCCAUGAUGAGGACAUUCUGUAAUAUAAUCUUGAAAGUGUUCCCAUGCCUCAGCGAACGAUUCAUCCUGUUGUUGAUGAAAGCUUGAGAUUUUACCACAUAGAGC